GACGAACCGUGCGAACGUUGUUCGGAAUCACUGGGCUUAAAGGGCGCGUAGGCGGGCCGGAUAGUCUGUGGUGAAAGCCUCCAGCUUAACUGGAGAAGUGCCGUGGAUACUGCCGGUCUUGAGGAAGGUAGGGGCAUCUGGAACGCUGGGUGGAGCGGUGAAAUGCGUUGAUAUCCAGCGGAACUCCGGUGGCGAAGGCGAGGUGCUGGACCUUUUCUGACGCUGAUGCGCGAAAGCCAGGGGAGCAAACGGG
rnacentral:rRNA from 2 species